CAGCCAUAUCACAUUGAAACACCAGUUCCUAUAUGAUCAUCAAUGUUAAGCAAUAUCAAGUCUGGUCAGUACCUAGAUGGUUCACCACUUGGGAAUACUAGGUGCUGUAAG